rnacentral:rRNA from 1 species
UAGGGAAUCUUGGGCAAUGGGCGAAAGCCUGACCCAGCCAUGCCGCGUGUGUGAAGAAGGCCUUAGGGUUGUAAAGCACUUUCAGCAGCGAAGAAAUGCAGCGGGUUAAUACCCCGCUGUCUUGACGUUAACUGCAGAAGAAGCACCGGCUAACUCCGUGCCAGCAGCCGCGGUAAUACGGAGGGUGCAAACGUUAAUCGGAAUUACUGGGCGUAAAGCGCGCGUAGGCGGAUCGGUAAGUGGGAUGUGAAAGCCCCGGGCUUAACCUGGGAACUGCAUUCCAAACUGCCGGCCUAGAGUAUGGUAGAGGGAGGUGGAAUUUCCUGUGUAGCGGUGAAAUGCGUAGAUAUAGGAAGGAACACCAGUGGCGAAGGCGGCCUCCUGGACCAAUACUGACGCUGAGGUGCGAAAGCGUGGGGAGCAAACAGGAUUAGAUACCCCCGUAGUCC